GAACGAAUGGCUUAAUGGUCAGAGUUCUUGGACGUUAACAAGAAACGUAGGUUCAAAUUCCGCUACGUUAA
rnacentral:tRNA from 1 species